AUGGCCGAACGCUUCAAUAGGGUGCUCAAAGGUGCACGUGGAUUACCCGUGACGGCAAUAGUUCAAUACACAUUUGACAAGAUGAAUGCGUACUUUGUGAAGUACUCGAUGGAAACGGAUGCACAGAUAGCGGGUGAGAACCCGCGCAAGUACAAGUUCCCACCCAAGGUUGAUGAAUGGUUGGUAUUUCAAUCACGGAAGGCGGACUCAGAAGAAGCUAUAUUAUAUGACAACGAAGAGUGGAAGUACGAAGUGAAAGAGCCAGGAGAAACAACAAACGAUGGCCGGCAACAUGGAGGUCGGGCUUUCAAGGUGUCGUUAACACAAUGUGAUUGCACUUGCGGGAGGCCAUUGUUGCUUCAUCUCCCAUGCUCACACUUGUAUACCGCCGGUCGCGUUAGGAAUGUGGACAUCAAUCACCCACGCACCAUGAGGGAGUCGGAGUUCUCAAUCAUGACGGUCAAGAAAACAUGGGCUCCCCGCUUUCACCCGUACUUUGACCAAUCACAAUGGCCGGAGUAUCAUGGAGUUCAACUAUGGCCGGAUCCG
rnacentral:rRNA from 1 species